UAUGUUUCCACUUCGAAGUAGAACAACAAGUGAACGGUGUGUUUCUCAAU
rnacentral:sRNA from 1 species